UCUGGUGGCUCAGCGGAGACCCCAGCACCCGAUCCCAUUCCGAACUCGGCCGUGAAACGCUCCAGCGCCCAUGAUACUUCGUCUCAAGACGCGGGAAAGUCGGUCGCCGCCAGAU
rnacentral:rRNA from 1 species